CAGAACCUUCCUGCACUACUUGAAGGAAAAAUAUCCAAUCUGAUUAGAUCGCCAGAGUGUGUUUUAAAAUUUUUUCUAUUCUAAUGGUAACAUAAGAUACCCAAUUUAUAGUGGAAUAAGGAUUAAAAUCUUCAGGAGAACUCAAAUCCAAUGUCUCGUAAGAUCUAAAAGCAUAGGCCCUCUACUUCGCACGCAUCCCAGGCUU
rnacentral:lncRNA from 1 species